GGUGAACGCUGGCGGCGUGCCUAAGACAUGCAAGUCGAGCGGGGCAGGUUUAUACCUGUUCAGCGGCGGACGGGUGAGUAACGCGUGGGUGACCUACCCGGAAGAGGCGGACAACCUGGGGAAACCCAGGCUAAUCCGCCAUGUGGUCCUGUCCUGUGGGGCAGGACUAAAGGGGCGACCCGCUUCCGGAUGGGCCCGCGUCCCAUCAGCUAGUUGGUGGGGUAAAGGCCCACCAAGGCGACGACGGGUAGCCGGUCUGAGAGGAUGGCCGGCCACAGGGGCACUGAGACACGGGCCCCACUCCUACGGGAGGCCGCAGUUAGGAAUCUUCCGCAAUGGACGGAAGUCUGACGGAGCGACGCCGCUUGGAGGAGGAAGCCCUUCGGGGUGUAAACUCCUGAACUGGGGACGAAAGCCCCGUGUAGGGGGAUGACGGUACCCAGGUAAUAGCGCCGGCCAACUCCGUG
rnacentral:rRNA from 1 species